rnacentral:rRNA from 1 species
CACGUAGGGGGCGAGCGUUGCCCGGAUUUAUUGGGCGUAAAGAGCUCGUAGGCGGUUUCGUAAGUCGGAUGUGAAAACUCCAGGCUCAACUUGGAGACGCCAUUCGAUACUGCGAUGACUUGAGUCCGGUAGGGGAGUGUGGAAUUCCUGGUGUAGCGGUGAAAUGCGCAGAUAUCAGGAGGAACACCGGCGGCGAAGGCGGCACUCUGGGCCGGUACUGACGCUGAGGAGCGAAAGCGUGGGUAGCAAACAGG